CCCUUAGAUGUCCUGGGCGGCCCGCGCGCUACAAUGUCAGCUACUGAAGGUUAAUGCUUUGAAAGAGAGCGCGCUCUCCUUUUAAUUGCUCGCAUGCUGGGAUAAAUGAAUGCAAUUUUGUUUUGAACGAGGAAUUCCUAGUAGCCAUGUUUCACUAGAAGAUGGCGAAUGCGUCCCUGCCCUUUGUACACACCGCCCGUCGCUCCUACCGAUUGGGUGUGCUGGUGAAAUGUUCGGAUCGGCCGUUUGUCGCGGUUUCCGCGGCUCGUGGCUGAGAAGUUCAUUAAACCCUCCCACCUAGAGGAAGGAGAAGUCGUAACA
rnacentral:rRNA from 1 species